rnacentral:sRNA from 1 species
UAUUUCCAUAUCUAAAGAUUUAGGAAUCCCAAGCAAGAUGAAACCUCAAUUGUUUGAGCAAAAGCAAAUAAAAUAAGUUGAAAAAUAUACGUGUUUGUAUCAAAAAGGACUUCUGAAGGACCAAAGCAUUGGCAGCACAAAAGACAAAACAGUGGCAUGGAUUAAGAUUGCUUCCACAGUUGGUGCUACAGAUGGGCUAAUUUAAAGGAGGGUUACAUUGCCUUGUCUUUAAAGGCUAUGCAAGAAACAGGAUUCCCAAGUAACUGGAAGUACUCUGAAAUGUUGUCUUUUAUGAAGGAACAUUUGAAUUUUAAAUCAGAAUUUUCGCCGAAGAUAACCGCACUCAAGAAAUUCUCCAAGGAUCGCAUUGCCCACACAAUGCCCCCAGGAAUGACACUCACGAUGCCCAGAUCUACACUGAAGGAAAGGAGUUUUUGUUUUUUUAUUAUUACCACCUUUAUACUAAUUUUUAUUUUGUCUCCUGGCAACGCAACUGUAGUCGAGUUGCAAUCCAUAAUCGAACCAUUAAAAUCUUGUAUGUGAAACUAAAACAAAUAAUCUGUGCGAGUAAGGCACAAGUAAAUAGCAACAGAUCAAUUUGCGUUGGCCAGCAUUAUGAUCCAUUUUUAAGAUUAUUUAACUAACGUACGAUUUUUCUUCUAUUCCAUUGAUGGUGAUAUUUAGGGUAAUUCUACUCUCAAAAUAUGCCUUGCAGAGACUUUUCACUGGAGAUAAUCUCACUCAAGAAAUUCUCCAAGGAUCGCAUUGGCCAUACAAAUAUGUGAAUGUCGAAACAAAAUUAUUUUCAGGAAUGACGACCGUGACACCCAGAUCUACAUGGAAGGAAAUGAGUUUUUUUUAUUACUAAUGAAUUUAAAAAAAAAUAAAAAUAAAUACAAAAAAAUUAAAAA